GUGGAGCUGCCUGGUGCGUCAGGCAAAUCAUCCCCCGGGCCGAUAAGCAUUCCUUAGGGAACUGGCUCUGUCGUGGCCCUGGUCACGUUAACCGGUGCCCACCUGCACUUGCAGGUCUAGGAGGGCUGAAAAGACCAACGGCUUUGGCGGCUCCACA
rfam:Gluconobacter oxydans 621H, complete genome.